CCUACGGGUGGCAGCAGUGAGGAAUAUUGGUCAAUGGGCGCAAGCCUGACCCAGCCAAGUAGCGUGAAGGAUGACUGCCCUACGGGUUGUAAACUUCUUUUAUAAAGGCAUAGAGUGAGGCGCGAGUGCCUUUUUGUAUGUACUUUAUGAAUGAGGAUCGGCUAACUCCGUGCCAGCAGCCGCGGUAAUACGGAGGAUCCGAGCGUUAUCCGGAUUUAUUGGGUGUAAAGGGAGCGUAGAUGGGUUUUUAAGUCAGUUGUGAAAGUUUGGGGCUCAACCGUAAAAUUGCAAUUGAUACUGGCUGUCUUGAGUACAGGUGAGGCAGGCGGAAUUCGGGGUGUAGCGGUGAAAUGCUUAGAUA
rnacentral:rRNA from 1 species